UCCUCUGGUCUCCACAGUAUUAAACAGUAAGAGGCUCCACCUGGUGGAACAACCAGGUACUGCAGCUGACUUACAGCACAAGUACUGUCCCUUAAAUUCUGCCUUAUUGGUUAAUUUUUUAUUUAUUUUUUCCUGGCUAAAUUAUGAAUGGCAAAUAAUUGAUUAGUGGUUAAUCAUCAACAGCCCUAUGACAGAGAGCAUCUAUAAAUUAAAAACUAUGACGAAUAAGAAUAUUGCCAUGAUCGUGUGCUUGAGGUGGAACACGCUGAGA